UGCACCGCCAUCGUCCUCCUCAUUCGCCCCUAGGGUUAGGGUUUUCUCCGGAGCCCCGUGCGAUCCCAAGAUCUCUCCUUCGAUCGCGAGCGACGAGGAUUCGAAAACCCUAGGUGUUCUUCGUGCUCGUUUCUUUCUGAUUGGAAAUUUGCGAACUUUGGAUCGAGAGAUUGGCAAUUUAGAGAAUGUUAGGCCCCAUUUUGCCCCUCCCGGCCCCCCCGGCCGACGGAGACCUCGGCCCGACCCCUCCCGCUCAGCUCCCCAAUGAUCCCCAAACCGACCAAUCCAAUCAGCAAAAGGAUGAGCCUUCCCAGCCCCCGGCCCCCGUCGCGACGCACACCCGAACAAUCGGGAUCAUCCACCCCCCGCCAGAUAUUAGGGUUAUCAUCGAAAAGACCGCAGGUUUUGUCGCCCGGAAUGGCCCCGAAUUCGAAAAAAGGAUCCUUGCGAACAAUGCCGGGAAUGCCAAGUUUAACUUUCUUAUUGCGUCGGAUCCGUAUCAUGCUUAUUACCAGCAUAGGGUUACCGAAUUCCGGAACCAGUUCCAGUCUCAGCCGUCUGGCGACUCUUCCCAGCAAUUGGAUUCUGCCCCCGCCCCCUCGGACUCGACCGCCGCCCCUGCCGCGGCCCCGGCGGCUGCUGAUGAGGGUUCUAAGACGGACCCUGCCGCGCAGUUCAGAAUCCCCCUGCAGAAGGCUCUGGAACCUCCUGAGGCUGAGCUGUACACUGUCCGCCUGCCUGAAGGGAUUACGGGCGAGGAGUUGGAUAUCAUCAAGCUGACCGCGCAGUUUGUUGCUAGGAAUGGGAAGAGCUUCUUGCAGAGCCUGGCCAGCCGGGAGCUGACCAACCCGCAGUUCCACUUCCUGAAACCGACCCACAGCAUGUUCACGUUCUUCACGACGCUCACGGACACCUAUUCGCGGGUGCUGAUGCCGGACAAGGACAAGCCGGAUAAGAUAACGGACAGGCUGAGGAAGAGCAUCGCGGACAUGACGACGGUGCUCGAGCGGUGCUUGCACCGCCUGGAGUGGGAGCGGUCGCAGGAGCAGGCGCGACAGAAGGCGGAGGACGAGAUCGAGCAGGAGAGGGUGCAGAUGGCUAUGAUCGAUUGGCACGAUUUCAUUGUUGUCGAGAUGAUUGAAUUUGCCGAUGAUGAGGAUGAAGAGCUCCCCAAGCCCAUGACCUUAGAAGAAGUCAUAAGGAGGAGCAAGAUGUCUUCUUUGGAGGAUGAAGAGGCGGCCGCUAUGGAGGUGGCGGAGCCGGGCAAGGAGGUGGAGAUGGAGAUGGACGAAGAAGAGGUCCACCUUGUUGAAGAAGGAAUGAGGGCGGCGAGGCUUGACGAGAACGGUGGGGGCGACAAGAAGAAUGAAAUGAAACCACCUGCGGAUGAGGAGCCGCCUAUGAGGAUAGUGAAGAAUUGGAAGAGGCCUGAGGAGCGGCUGCCUGCCGAAAGGGACCCAACCAAGUUUGUCAUUUCGCCAAUCACGGGUGAGCUAAUUCCGAUCAAUGAGAUGGCGGAGCAUAUGCGAAUUUCGCUCAUAGACCCGAAAUAUAAGGAGCAGAAGGAAAGGAUGAUGGCCAAAAUUAGAGAAACCACACUCGCGGCCGACGACGAGAUAUCUAGGAACAUCGUGGGGCUUGCCAGAACUCGCCCUGAUAUUUUCGGCACCACGGAGGAGGAGGUGUCGAACGCUGUCAAGGCGGAGAUCGAAAAGAAGAAGGACGAGCAGCCUAAGCAGGUCAUAUGGGACGGGCAUUCAGGAAGCAUCGGCCGCACUGCCACUCAGGCCUUGUCGCAGAGUAUUUCCAGUGAGGAGCAGAAUGAUGCUGCUAGUAGUGAUGGGAUGAUUCUUCCAGGGCCUGCUCCUCCUCCAAGACCUGGUUUUCCAGGUAUCCGGCCCCUUCCUCCGCCACCUGGUUUGGCUUUGAAUCUCCCGCGUUAUUUGCCCAAUUCUGUUCCGUAUUCUACUCCUCCGACUAGUGGCGGUGUCGCGGUUCCGCCCCUCAGAAUGGGAGUUGGCCCCAUGAUGCCAACUAUGAGGCCACCCCCUCCACCUCCAAUGAACGUAACGCCAAAUCAGCAGUCCAUCGGGAUGAGCCGUCCACCUAUUCCAACAAUGAUCUCGAUGAAUCCUCCCAAUAUUCCUGUUCCACCACCUCCUGGGUCGCAGUUCACUCCUUUGAUGGUUCAGCGCCCUCCUUAUGUUCCCAUGCCUAUGCCGCCACCGAACAUGCAGAUUGCCCCACCGCCACCCCUGCCACUUGGCAUGCCUCCGCCUCCACCUCCUGAGGAAGCUCCUCCUCCGUUGCCUGAUGAGCCAGAACCGAAGAGGCAGAGAAUUGAUGAGGUUUCUCUCAUCCCUGAGGAUCAAUUCAUUGCUCAGCACCCGGGAUCCAUUCGCAUUUCUGUGUCCGUUCCUAAUGUUGAUGAAGGGAACUUAAAAGGCCAAACUUUGGAGAUCACUGUGCAGUCUUUGUCUGAGACAAUUGGUAGUCUCAAAGAGAAGAUUGCCGGCGAGGUUCAGCUUCCUUCUAAUAAGCAAAAGCUGAGUGCCCGGGCGGGUUUUCUCAAGGACAACCUUACUCUUGCAUACUACAACAUCGGGCCUGGAGAUACAGUUACCCUAGCUUUGAGGGAACGUGGUGGAAGAAAGAAAUGAGAUUUUCUUUUUAUUGCCAAAAGGUUACUAGUCACCAGAGAACUUUAUCAGCUACUGUGGAGCUCUUAAAUAUAUCCUAUCUAGAUGUGAUCAUCUUGGAAGUGUCAAUGGUGGGUGCGUAUGUUCCUCAAAGAAGCAAGCUGGUGAAAACUUGGUCUUGUUGUGUUGCCGUCUAUUUUAGUUGUCUCUUUUUGUUGAAAUUCGUACCAUAUUGCUACUAUUGAGAAUUCGGUUCGGGCAUAUAAUUCUCAUGUCAUUCUUUUCUAAUUCCUGUAGACUUUCGCAUCUGGUGCAUAUUAACAGGUUUUACUUUCUGAUGAGGGAUGAUUAUAAAGCUUGUUCACCAUUGUCACUAACAGAGAGCUCCGACUUGAUUUUACCAUGUUGGAUUGAAAGAAACAUUUCCUUUUUGUCCAAGCAUACUGGUGAUAAUGUUCUUAACAUUUUGUUAUGCUUACCAAGUAGCAUUUUAGUUUUUCUGCAUGUGUAAAACGUAUCACUCUUGUUGCUUAACAUCUAUUUUGUGGUUGAGUUCCUGUCCCCAGUAACUGCAUUAUGAUAGUUCAAUGCCAGCAUAAGUGCGCUAAUUAGAGUACUACAUCUUUCUUCUUCUAUGUUCCUCAGGUGGCAGGUACUAAAUUCUUUCGCCAUUGUGUUUUCCUUACUCUUGCUAUUAACUUAGCUCCUUUUUUUAUUCUUUGAUUUACUUUUUGGUUGAUGUAUGUUUCCCUCUGCUGCCUUUAACCGUGCAGACGAAGGGUUGUUAACUGGUGGGAGAAUAGAAUAUAUUUUUCACUGCUCUGUUCCUUUUGUAUUGUUGUAUUUGUUUGAUCAUUUGUGCUAUAGCAAUCAUAUGCUAUAUUGAGCUUGUAGGACAACUAUGCUGUUUACAUAUUCUGGUUCCCAAGUUCUUGUUCUUAAAACAGCUUCUUUAAAAUUCUAUCAUCUGAAAGAACGAGUUAUAUUUUUGGUAGUUUAGUUUAUCCUUGAUGAUAAGGGUAACUUAAUCUAUCAAGAAACAUGAAAUGUAUUAUCUUUUUGCCAGAAACAGCAAGGGUAAGGUGAACCCAGAGGAUUCAAGCAGUUUUUGAUGAGGUCUGGAUAUUUGUCACAGCCAAAAUUGCUUUUGAUUCAGUGAGAAUUUCAAACACUAGCCACUGUCUAAAUUAUGAUUCUGGUCCUUAUGAUCAUCUCACUCUUUGAAUUGUAGGAGUUCUCUUGCAAUAUAAUUUUCAAGUGACCUCCAGUUCUUGUAUGUAAUGUCUUGUUCAAAGCACACAAUUAAUCUACAACAUAUGUUAAGUGAACUUCUUUCCGAGCGAGCUUUUUAUCCAUCUUUUACUUGUUAUAUUAUGUGAGCAAUUUUGUUCCUCAGUUCUGCUGUUCUACAGUGAUAGAGCCGAAUUGGGAUAAAAAUAAAAGCAUCUAACUUUUUCUCUUGGCUUUCAUUCUCGGCUCCUUCCUUUCAGUAUGUUCUUCUAUAGUCAUAAACUAAUGUCAUGGAGUAAAGUAAUGUUAUAGUUUACCUGCUUGUUACUUUCUUUGCGCAAGCUAACUUUCUCCUCCCUCAUUUUCCCUUUACAAUCUUAUGACAAUGGUUUCAUGAGGAAAAUGUGGGUUCACAACGAAUAACUUGGCUCGGAGAAUCUUGGGAGCCUUUCCAUUAACUAUUGCAGAUUUCUGACGAGGAACUUAGGUAAAGUGAACUAGACUUGUUAUUCUACUCUCCUGUGCCUGUGCAUGUUCUAUUCUCAUUCUGCUUUGCUGUCUCUUAAACUAAUCUAAGUAAUGAGAACACUUUUUGUAGUGCACACUUACCUGCAGGUGCGUUAGUGGGGCAAGGUGUUUUCAUGAGCAUUUUCUUAAUUCACUUCGAAUCGCAACCGAUCGACAUUGUUAGGUUUUUGUUUACUCGUCGUGCAUUAAAGAGAGACUGCUUUCUGAUUAGCUUUUAGGGCUUGUUUUCGCUUGUUUCAAUUAUCACACACUAAAAUAUAUGUGUAAGAAAAUCUGACAUUAGAUUACUUCAUAAAGAGUAAUCUGAAUAUGCAAGUGUGGAAACAAAUGAGAUUUUUUGCAUAUUA